rnacentral:rRNA from 1 species
AAGGUUGACCUCGGAUCAGGUAGGACUACCCGCUGACUAAAGC